GCGAGCGCACCUCAUCGUCAACCCACAGGCGCAGUGAUAAAAAUAGCUUGCAGUCGUUAUAGCUUGGCUCAACUCGCACCAGCGGUCUUUACUCCCGCUUAACGUUAUAGAGCUGUAGUAUGAACUAUCUGGUUCCUGUGGCGAGAAGAGGACCAAUCAUCCUGAACAGAAGUUCCCGAUGGAUGGGCACAAAAUAACAAUGGAGAUUUUGACAUUUCCUUGGCUGUGAGUGUGGUACUGGCAAUUUAUCAGUUUUACAAUUGUCAUUUUUGGAGGAUUUAUCUUGAAGCUUGAUACUCCCAACUACCAGAGUAUCAGUGCUUUGCAGACUGGCAAAUGGAUGUCCCUUACUAUGGCACUGGAGUUAGGUGUUUGUAUUCCCUGAAAGUUACUGUGAACAGGUACUUAGUACAGCAUCAUUAUUCUUUUUGACAUCACAAGAUAUAUAUAUAUGUAUAUAUAUAUUCAUGUUCAUGCUUUGGCUGUAUUGUGGUCCUGUGAAAUGGGUAUUAAAGUACACUGUUACAUGUAAAAUGUCUUAGUUUAAAGUCCCUGAACCCUACAGAACCCCCGAAAACUUGUUUUGCACAGAAUGUGUAACAGUGUAUGCCAAUAGCUGACAAACAGUAAUUUGUAAUAGUGACAUUUUAGGGAGUUAUGUUCUCCAUCACAGUGACUGAUUUCUGUUUCUGUUUGUUUGGACUUCUCCUGUGCUUCUCUGAAAAGGAAUGUCAAUAAACAGCUAACAUUUA